UACAGAGGUCUCAAGCGUUUGUUCGGAUUCAUUGGGCGUAAAGGGUGCGUAGGUGGCGUGGUAAGUCGGGUGUGAAAUUUCGGAGCUUAACUCCGAAACUGCAUUCGAUACUGCUGUGCUUGAGGACUGGAGAGGAGACUGGAAUUUACGGUGUAGCAGUGAAAUGCGUAGAGAUCGUAAGGAAGACCAGUGGCGAAGGCGGGUCUCUGGACAGUUCCUGACACUGAGGCACGAAGGCCAGGGGGAGCAAACGGGG
rnacentral:rRNA from 1 species